rnacentral:lncRNA from 1 species
GUUUGAUAGCUUAUGUUGAAAAAAGCUUCUCUCUUGUCUUUGCCAAGGUUAUGGUGAAUACCUAAGCUUCAGUGCAGCAGGCUGUUAAACAUACCACCUUAUAAAAGUUUAUUUAGCAGAUACUUAAGUAUGUGUUUCAAUUACCAGUAAGUCAAAAAGACCUUAGUUCAAAUGUUUUAUAGAAUCUGAAUAUUACCUAGAUUCUUCUUAAUUUUGGGUUUAUUGAUCUUUCUCUUGGAAAUCCACAGGUCAAAUUCUCACUUUAUUUAUUUUAGAUCCAGAGUCACAAAUCUUUAUGGAAUUAUUCCAAUAAUAGGAUCCUUCCAGUAAUAUUGUUCCAAAAUGACUGGAAUCCUGUGUCCAAGAGUGAGGACAGAUGAGAGCAGCAUACAAUGGAGCCUCUCUGCAUUGUUAUGAUGCCCAGGACUGUAGCACUGGUGAUGGUAUACAAUGGCUAUGCUAUCACACACCAUGGAGCAAGUGACUUAGAAGGGAGGAGAAGGCUUAUCCUUCCAGGAAGUCCACCUCUGAUAUGUGAGUUGAUGAGCUCUUCUUUGGUUUCGUCAUGAAUAUUAAAGGUGUGUUCAUAGUAAACUCAUCUUUGUCAUUAGUGAAACACCUUUAUACUUCACAAAUCUCAUGAUCCUUGUUUGCACUGUAUUUUUUUUCUAAAGGCUUCAUAUGUUAUCCUGUCUCUGUAGAAGAGUUUCUGCAUACAUGCAUUAGGAGAUAAUGUCUCUCCUGAAAAGACUGAUAAUCUGUGUAGGGUUGGGAUCCUGAUACUUUCCCCCCACUCUAUGGAAGUGGAACAGAAAGGCUGUGGUUUGCCAGAAGUCUUAAGGAAAACCUUUCAGGAGAGCCAAGAACCAAGACUGGACUUCUUACCUCCCAAAUCAGUGCCUUAACCACAAAUCCAGCCAUCCCCUCUUGCUAAUGCCACGCCAACUGCAUUAUAAAUCUAGUUUGUAAGUUAUGAAGCCAGUCAGUGACAAUUAUCUGGACAGCACAAAUAUAGUAACACUGCAAACAUGUUUGUUAGGCAAUAAAAUCUUACACACCUAAGAAGCUCA